UUGGAGGGCAAGUCUGGUGCCGGCAGCCGCGGUAAUUCCAGCUCCAAUAGCGUAUAUUAAGGUUGUUGCAGUUAAAAAGCUCGUAGUUGAACUUCAGACCUGGCUGGGCGGUCCGCUUAACGGCGUGUACUGUCUGGCUGGGUCUUACCUCUUGGUGAGCCGGCGUGCCCUUUAUUGGUGUGCGUCGGGGAACCAGGACUUUUACCUUGAGAAAAUUAGAGUGUUCAAAGCAGGCCUAUGCCUGAAUACAUUAGCAUGGAAUAAUAAAAUAGGACG
rnacentral:rRNA from 1 species